UACGGAGGGGGCUAGCGUUGUUCGGAAUUACUGGGCGUAAAGCGCGCGUAGGCGGACCUGCAAGUCGGGGGUGAAAGCCCGAGGCUCAACCUCGGAACUGCCUUCGAUACUGCGGGUCUCGAGUCCGGAAGAGGAAAGUGGAAUUCCUGGUGUAGCGGUGAAAUGCGCAGAUAUCAGGAAGAACACCCGUGGCGAAGGCGGCUUUCUGGGACGGUACUGACGCUGAGACGCGAAAGCGUGGGGAGCGAACAGG
rnacentral:rRNA from 1 species